GAUAGUAGGGGUGUUGGUUUUAAAGAUGCAACGCUAUAUGGUGCUUUACUUUGUGUGGCGGAAAUCACUGAUCCACUAUGUGUUGAUGUGCUGGGAAUUGUCGUUGACUCAGAAGUGUGUUUUGCAGCCGUGGGUAGCUCUGUUGUUAUUGAUGCUGAAGUUGAUGUUUGUGUAGUCUCUGAUUUGGCUGUUACAGAUGGUUCAGCUUCUGCUGAAGUUUCUGAUGAUGUGGUUACAACUGUAAAUUGUGUUGGUGUUGUUGUUGUUUUUCUUGUGAGUGGAAUAUAUGUUGUUGAAGUAGUUGUGGACACUGUUUCCACAGGUCCUCUAGUUUGUUUUGUAAAUGAUGUUGCCCUAGCUGGUGUACUUUGUGUGGUUGACAUCACUGAUGCACUAUGUGUCGAUGGGCUGGGAAUUGUAGUCGACUCCUCAGUUAAUUCUGCUGCUGUGAGUUUCUCUGUUGUUAAUGUUGCUGAUGUUUGUGAAGUCACUGAUUUGGAUGUUCCAGAUACUGCUGUUUCUAAAGUGGCUGAUUUUGUUGUUACAACUGUACUUUGUGUUGGUGUUGGUGUUGGUGUUGUUGGUGUUGGUGUUGUUGAUGAUUCUAUUGUGAAUGGAAUAGAUUCUGCUGAUGGAGUUGAGGACACUGUUUCCACAGUUGCUUUAGUUUGUGUUGUAAAUGCUGUGUUCAUUGCUGGUGUACUUUGUGUGGUGGAAAUCACUGAAACACGAUGUGGUAAUGUGCUGUAAAUUGAUGUUGAUUCAUUAGUUUGUUUUGCAGCCGUGGGUAGCUCUGUUGUUAUUGAUGCUGAAGUUGAUGUUUGUGUAGUCUUUGAUUUUGUUGUUAAAGGUGGUGCAGCUUCGGCUGAAGUUUCUGAUUUUGUGGUUACAACCGUAAAUUGUGUUUGUGUUUUUAUUGUGAGUGGAAUAUAUGUUGUUGUUGUUGUAGUUGUGGACACUGUAUCCACAGGUCCUCUAGUUUGUUUUGUAAAUGCUGUUGCCCUAGCUUUUUUCAUAGUUGUUGUAAUUGACCCUGUACUAUCAGCCAUUGGAGGUACUACAAUUGAUUCCAAUGUUGAUGUUUGUGAUAUAGCCAAAUCUGUCAACAUAGAUGCUGUCCUUUGUGCUGGAGCUGUUGAUGUUGUCUUUGAUUCAGCUCUGAUUUGUGUCAAUGUGGUUGUUACUAAUGUUUUUUGUUCAGGGAAACUUGUUUUUAAUGUUGUUCUAAGGUUUAAGGCUAACGUUUUGUUGAUUUUGCCUGUACUUGUGGCUUUUUUUGGAGUAGUGGAUGCAGAUGGGCUGAACGUAGAAUUCAUGGCUUUCAAAUUAAUCAAAGCUGAUGAAUUCAGAGAUGACACCGUCCCAGAUAUGUUGUUAAAUAUGUCAGAAGUUAAAUUUGACUGCACUAUAUCGGAUGUGUCUUGGAAUUUCCGUGUAGGUGUUUUGGUAGGACCAGUUUGUGAUAACUGUGGAAUGGUGAUUGGCAUGCUGUGAUCUGUGACGUCUGUGACCUUAGGUGCGGCUGCCAUAGCUGUCACAACAAUGUUUAUAGGUAUGUUGUUGGGAGAUACCAUUGUAUCCAUCUGGGUUGAAUUUGGUAAAGGUGAGCUAAAUUUAGGUAUAGUCAGAGCUUUGCUGGACUGAGCUGUAGUUGAGGCUGAAAGAGUGGAGUCAGUAUAAAUCUGUGCUGCAGUCACUGUUUCUGCUGAGGAGUUCAUCAGUCUUGACUUAUUAUGCAGCAAUGUGGAAGUGCCAGAUGUUGUACUGGUUAAGGCAGGUUCCUGGAGACCAGUCACAGGUGUAACAUUAUAAACAGUAUUUGUUUCAUUGGCAGCGGCUAUAUUUUGACUUGUACUUCCCUUCGUUGAUUCAGCAUUUAUUUCCUCCAUCGGGUCUGAUGUACUUCCUUUGACUCCAGUUACAUUUGCCAUUAUUGAAGCUCCUACGGUUUCCGUUUUACUUUUGGAGCUAAAUGUUGUUUCCAUCGUUGAAGUCAAUUUCUUUGAGUCCAUGGUUGGAGUUGUUUGUUUGUCCAAUUGUUUGGUUUGUUCCAUGAAUGGCUGAGGUCUUGAAGGUUUACUGACCACCGGUCCUGUACUGGUGUUAAUUGCAGGAAUCUCAGUAGAGUCUGUGGUCCAGACAUGAGGCGGGCACAUAGCUGUGUGAGAGGAAAAGGCAGACGGUUUCAUAUAUAAAAAAAAAUUUGGUUUGAUCCUUUAAUGUUCACAUUAACUGUGGUAUCAUGCUCUUACAUAAAAAGUGAAAAGAUAAGUACAAAUAAUGAGAGCUGGAUUCAAG
ensembl:lncRNA